rnacentral:lncRNA from 1 species
AGGGGAGCAAGUAGCCACUGGACUUUGCAUAGACUGAGGAAGAAAUGUAAAAAGAAGAAGAAAUCCAAAUCCACAGCAGCACAUUGUUGGCAUGUUAUUCUGGGCUUCAUUUUCAGCUUUAAAAGCUUUUCCUCAGUGCUGCCUGCCAGAAUGAGACACAUGCAAACAGGACUGAAACCCACACCUGGGAGUCGCACAUGCAUGACCACUGAAAAGUUCAGACUCUGCGUCGAACAAAGCAUACCCUUGGCUCAUUGAAGUUGCGCCAGGAAAAGGGCACGGUUUAGCUGGCAGUGUAGUCACAGCCAGAAAAUGUUUAAAAGACACUAAGAAUUCAGACAGACACAUUCCUUACAUUCUUAAGUUCAACUUCUCUUAACAGAUAAAUAAAGAUGAGACUGCAUUUGAUUGGUCCUCCA